rnacentral:rRNA from 1 species
GACGAACGCUGGCGGCGUGCUUAACACAUGCAAGUCGAACGGUAAGGCUCCAGCUUGCUGGGGUACACGAGUGGCGAACGGGUGAGUAACACGUGGGUGACCUGCCCUGCACUUCGGGAUAAGCCUGGGAAACUGGGCCUAAUACCGGAUAGGACCGCACCGUGAGGGUGUGGUGGAAAGUUUUUUCGGUGUGGGAUGGGCCCGCGGCCUAUCAGCUUGUUGGUGGGGUAAUGGCCUACCAAGGCGGCGACGGGUAGCCGGCCUGAGAGGGUGGACGGCCACAUUGGGACUGAGACACGGCCCAGACUCCUACGGGAGGCAGCAGUGGGGAAUAUUGCACAAUGGGCGGAAGCCUGAUGCAGCGACGCCGCGUGGGGGAUGACGGCCUUCGGGUUGUAAACUCCUUUCACCAUCGACGAAGGGUUUCUGACGGUAGAUGGAGAAGAAGCACCGGCUAACUACGUGCCAGCAGCCGCGGUAAUACGUAGGGUGCGAGCGUUGUCCGGAAUUACUGGGCGUAAAGAGCUCGUAGGUGGUUUGUCGCGUCGUCUGUGAAAUUCCGGGGCUUAACUCCGGGGCGUGCAGGCGAUACGGGCAUAACUUGAGUACUGUAGGGGAGACUGGAAUUCCUGGUGUAGCGGUGAAAUGCGCAGAUAUCAGGAGGAACACCGGUGGCGAAGGCGGGUCUCUGGGCAGUAACUGACGCUGAGGAGCGAAAGCAUGGGGAGCGAACAGGAUUAGAUACCCUGGUAGUCCAUGCCGUAAACGGUGGGCGCUAGGUGUGGGUUUCCUUCCACGGGAUCCGUGCCGUAGCUAACGCAUUAAGCGCCCCGCCUGGGGAGUACGGCCGCAAGGCUAAAACUCAAAGGAAUUGACGGGGGCCCGCACAAGCGGCGGAGCAUGUGGAUUAAUUCGAUGCAACGCGAAGAACCUUACCUGGGCUUGACAUAUACAGGAUCGCGCCAGAGAUGGUGUUUCCCUUGUGGCUUGUAUACAGGUGGUGCAUGGUUGUCGUCAGCUCGUGUCGUGAGAUGUUGGGUUAAGUCCCGCAACGAGCGCAACCCUUGUCUUAUGUUGCCAGCACGUUGUGGUGGGGACUCGUAAGAAACUGCCGGGGUUAACUCGGAGGAAGGUGGGGAUGACGUCAAAUCAUCAUGCCCCUUAUGUCCAGGGCUUCACACAUGCUACAAUGGUCGGUACAGUGGGUUGCCAGUCCGUGAGGGCGAGCUAAUCCCGCAAAGCCGGUCUCAGUUCGGAUCGGGGUCUGCAACUCGACCCCGUGAAGUCGGAGUCGCUAGUAAUCGCAGAUCAGCAACGCUGCGGUGAAUAAAUUUCCGGGCCU